AACGAACGCUUUCUUCCUUCCUAACACAUGCAAGUCGAACGAGACCUUCCGGUCUAGUGGCGCACGUGUGCGUAACGCGGGGGAACCUGCCCUUAGGUUCGGAAUCACUCCCCGAAAGGGGUGCUAAUACCAGAUAAUGUAUUCGGAGCAAAGAUUUCUCGCCUUUGGAUGGGCCCGCGUUGGAUUAGCUAGUUGGUAGGGUAAAAGCCUACCAAGGCGACGAUGCAUAGCUGGUCUGAGAGGAUGACCAGCCACACUGGGACUGAGACACGGCCCAGACUCCUACGGGAGGCAGCAGUGGGGAAUAUUGUACGAUGGGCGAAAGCCUGAUCCAGCAACGCCGCGUGAGUGAGGAAGGCCGUAGGGUUGUAAAGCUCUUUUACCCGGGAUGAUAAUGACAGUACCGGGAGAAUAAGCUCCGGCUAACUCCGUG
rnacentral:rRNA from 1 species